UGCACCCACUCUGACUUGAAUUCUCUUUAUACAUAUAUUUUUCUUCCUAUUUUCGAGUAUUUCGGUUUAAGUUGUGAUUUUAAAUUUCGGGACGAAAUUCUUUUAAGGGGGGUAGAUUGUAACAACCCGUCCCGGAAUUUACGUAAGAAAAUGGGUAUUUUUGUAUUUUCACUAAGUUUGGGGGAUACCUUCCUUUUUAAAAUUGUUUUUGAGCCUUAAUUGGUGAGCCCAAGGGGCCCACCCCCUGUUUUUGUCCCCCGGUUCCUCCCCUUUCCCAUUUCUUUUCUUUUUUUUCUGAAAAGUCUUCUCCUCUCUUCUCUCUUUCUUCCUCCAUGCUCUCUCCUUUCCCCCCCUCUCGGUCCGACAAGAACACACACACACACACACCCAAGCCCACACCUAUAGCUCUUUUCGAACCCCAUGGUUCUGUUUUGGACGUCAAAUCACGAAGAAACCACCUCGGAGACAUUUCCCAGUUUUCCGGCAAGCACCGUCCCUUUCGAGGCGAUUUCCGGCCAAACCACGGCGAGUUGGCCGGCGUGCAAGUUUCCGGCGGACACCCGUGGCUUCCAAGCUGUUUUCCGGCCAACUCCGGCCACAAUGACGGGAACCAAGGGGGCGAUUAUCUGUGGCGUUUCCUUCUUUGCUAGAUGGCGUGGCUUUUCAACGGUGAAGUACUGUGAGUGGACCCCUUCUAAAAAUGCAUGUUUUGAUAGUAGAAAUGCAUACAUGAAAAGAAUGAUUUGAUGAUUAUGUUUUAUGAAACGUUUUACGAGAUAACAUGCUUACUGA